AAAUUGAAGAGUUUGAUCAUGGCUCAGAUUGAACGCUGGCGGCAGGCCUAACACAUGCAAGUCGAACGGUAACAGGAAACAGCUUGCUGUUUCGCUGACGAGUGGCGGACGGGUGAGUAAUGUCUGGGAAACUGCCUGAUGGAGGGGGAUAACUACUGGAAACGGUAGCUAAUACCGCAUAACGUCGCAAGACCAAAGAGGGGGACCUUCGGGCCUCUUGCCAUCGGAUGUGCCCAGA
rnacentral:rRNA from 2 species